UACGUAGGUCCCGAGCGUUGUCCGGAUUUAUUGGGUGUAAAGGGUGCGUAGACGGAGGAACAAGUUAGUUGUGAAAUCCCUCGGCUUAACUGAGGAACUGCAACUAAAACUAUUCCCCUUGAGUGUCGGAGAGGAAAGUGGAAUUCCUAGUGUAGCGGUGAAAUGCGUAGAUAUUAGGAGGAACACCAGUGGCGAAGGCGACUUUCUGGACGAUAACUGACGUUGAGGCACGAAAGUGUGGGGAGCAAACAGG
rnacentral:rRNA from 1 species